ACAGAACAAACUGCAUUAGAAUGCAAGGCAAUAAAGCAAAAAACUAGAAACAUCCUGGACAAAUAAAUACUAGCAGUUUAAUUAAAACAAAGUAGUCCAACAUGUGCCUCAGAAAUAGUUAAGUUUUAAAGCAUAUGUUUCUGCCAAUGUACCAACACAAGAUGGACUUAAUACCAAAAAGAAAAAAAAAACAGUUCAACCUUUUUAUUAAAAAAAAAAAGAAAAAGAAAAAGAAAUGACAGCAAAAUCCCUAAAAAAAGGAUAAUUAACUUUUCAAUGGCGACUAUAUUACAUACGUGGACAGUAAUUUCCAAAGAGGCACACUAAUGGGGGCACGAAGUCUGCUACAAAAUAGCUGAGACAAAACAAUGUACCUCAAAAUGUUUUGCAGGACUACACUGUCUUUUCCUUCAGAAGAGGCUUUUGUAUGUCUUCUUACUCGGCUUAGCUCCAUCUUCAUCUGUGCAUACUUACGCUGCACUGUCAAACAGUAACAAAAAGCCCUAAUCAAAGUGAGAAACAAUACACUUACCUCUGUCUGAUCUGAGGUCUUAUCAGAUCAGUUUUAAUUGGACUGAGUGUCACCUUCAGAUUUAAUGUCUUCACUGGUCCCAUUGACCUCAUUCUUAGUGUCACUUUCCUUCGAUUCAGGGUUUGUGUCUUCACUCUGCUUUUCUCGACUACUGGACUUCACACUACUCUUUUUAUCAUCAGAUCCCUUCUUUUCUGCCAUAAAAGAAGACAUUGACCAUGGAAUUUACAGUGAAACACAACAAAUCUACUACUAUUUAAAACAGGAAACAUUGAGAGCAAAGAACCAUUUCCCACGGCUGUGAGACAGUCUGCAGAGCUCAGUGCUGUCAGCUGUAGAUUACAGAGGGAAAGGGCAAGAAGACCAAAAAGAAACAGAAAAUUCUCUCAAACCUGCUAGAGUCACCCUAUAAUUGACAACUUCAGUAAAUUUCAUUCUAGAUAAAGACCAUCCAAAGGCAACAAGAAAGACAAAAGACAAAUACACAAAACGGUUAACAUGGGUUAAUUAAGUUGCAAGGCAAAAUGGCACCCAGAAAUUUAACAUUUAAAUGACACGUUUAUUAAAAGAAAACUUAUACAUAUUUAAAUAUCCAAGAGGGGGCACACCUAGUAAGAAAAUGAGAUCUUCAAAAAAAUCUAAAAACCCAAAUUUGUGUUUUCUGUAAUGAAAUCUAAGAGGUUUUUUUCCUAAAGGAAAAAAUUAAAGCUGAGUUUGGAGGAAAAAAAAGGCAGCAGUUUCCAGCUUUCCCUAGAGUUGCAUUAGAAAGGUGAAAAAGCCCAUGUGAAGGAAAAGUGUCGUCUGCCUUCCAGCUGUACAUUACAUGUACCUCUACAAAAGGAUUCUGCAAAACUAUUAAACACACCUUUCCAUAAAAGCUAUUUUCCCCUUAAAACUAAGAACAAUUCAUUAGUUUGACAAAGUAGCUCAUAACAGGAAGAUGUCUGAAGAGAAGCACUCUCCAGACAGUUGUUACAGACACAACAUCAAACACCUGGAAGGAGGAUGGGAGCACAAAAACCAGUGCUGUGGACUUGCAUCUACAGAAAGGAAGGAGUGUGCAUCAGGUCCAGCCUUUGUAAACCAAGCACAGCACUGUCUAAGUGGUUAACCAUAGACUUGCUUCCCAGCUGUCUGUCCACCUGUGGGAACUAUGCUCUAACUGACCUUGUGGGAAAGUCCUCCCUUUGAGCCUUAUGGGCUUCUCCGGUGCACAGGUAGCUUCAAUGAGGAAGAGUCGUCUUGUUGCUCCGUAGAGGACUAGUAGUCCAAAAAUCUUAUCUUCUGGCCUAUGUAAAUAUGGUAGAUCUUAAUAGUCCUAAGGAUAUCCAUGUGUGUUGGAUUUUAGAGUUAGGGAUUAAACAGAAACUCUCUGAACAGAAUAUAGAUACCUAUGGGUAGAAAAUUACUCCCCCUUUGUUGAGUUCCGUUAGGUGCUUCUGUUAUGAUUACAUCACGUGGAGCAGUGAACAGUCUUACUCAUCUGCCAUUAUUAGAUGUUUGUUAGUACAGAUGCCUGAUGCCCACAGGCCAGAAUGCUAUCUUUGUAUAUUCAGAAGUGUCUAGAACUUCCCUAAGUCAAUAGACUCAUCAUUUCUAGAAGUCUAAAGUUUACGUUAAUGCUAUAAUGGCAGGCCCAACAUAAAUAGGCCUGCUAAGUUUUUUCAGUAUCUAGUCUUCUCUUUUCCCUAGUCUCACCAGGAAACUUCAGAAUUUUACUAAAUUCAACUUGUCACAAGUCAGUAAUCAGGACAUGUUUUUGCUUCAACACAAAAUUAUACAAAUGUUGUCUAUUUAAGUGGCAAGACUGGAAAAGAACAAUUAAUAAAACAGAAAUAUGUAAUCAAAAGCUUCAUAAUACAUGGGUGAUUGAUUUGAUCUGAUGUAAGAGUCAUCAGGUAACUCUUCAAAACUGAUCUCACUUAAAAUAUACCAAAGCCUUUCUAAACAAAACAUAGUACAAGAGGAGACUUCACAGAAACAAUGUCUGAAUUAUAAUAAGCAGAGGC
rnacentral:lncRNA from 1 species